rnacentral:rRNA from 1 species
GACGAACGCUGGCGGCGUGCCUAAUACAUGCAAGUAGAACGCUGAAGGAGGAGCUUACUCUUCUGGAUGAGUUGCGAACGGGUGAGUAACGCGUAGGUAACCUGCCUGGUAGCGGGGGAUAACUAUUGGAAACGAUAGCUAAUACCGCAUAAGAGUAGAUGUUGCAUGACAUUUACUUAAAAGGUGCAAUUGCAUCACUACCAGAUGGACCUGCGUUGUAUUAGCUAGUUGGUGGGGUAACGGCUUACCAAGGCGACGAUACAUAGCCGACCUGAGAGGGUGAUCGGCCACACUGGGACUGAGACACGGCCCAGACUCCUACGGGAGGCAGCAGUAGGGAAUCUUCGGCAAUGGACGGAAGUCUGACCGAGCAACGCCGCGUGAGUGAAGAAGGUUGUCGGAUCGUAAAGCUCUGUUGUAAGAGAAGAACGAGUGUGAGAGUGGAAAGUUCACACUGUGACGGUAUCUUACCAGAAAGGGACGGCUAACUACGUG